rnacentral:rRNA from 1 species
AAAAUACGGGAGGCAGCAGUGGGGGAUAUUGCACAAUGGAGGAAACUCUGAUGCAGCGACGCCGCGUGAGUGAAGAAGUAUUUCGGUAUGUAAACCUCUGUUAGCAUCGAAGAAGCGAAAGUGACGGUAGGUGCAGAGAAAGCGCCGGCUAACUACGUGCCAGCAGCCGCGGUAAUUUUU